rnacentral:rRNA from 1 species
GACGAACGCUGGCGGCGUGCUUAACACAUGCAAGUCGAACGGAAAGGCCCUGCUUUUGUGGGGUGCUCGAGUGGCGAACGGGUGAGUAACACGUGAGUAACCUGCCCUUGACUUUGGGAUAACUUCAGGAAACUGGGGCUAAUACCGGAUAGGAGCUCCUGCUGCAUGGUGGGGGUGGGAAAGUUUAGGCGGUUGGGGAUGGACUCGCGGCUUAUCAGCUUGUUGGUGGGGUAGUGGCUUACCAAGGCUUUGACGGGUAGGCGGCCGGAGAGGGUGACCGGCGACAUUGGGACUGAGAUACGGCGCAGACUCCUACGGGAGGCAGCAGUGGGGAAUAUUGCACAAUGGGCGGAAGCCUGAUGCAGCAACGCCGCGUGCGGGAUGACGGCCUUCGGGUUGUAAACCGCUUUCGCCUGUGACGAAGCGUGAGUGACGGUAAUGGGUAAAGAAGCACCGGCUAACUACGUG